rnacentral:misc_RNA from 1 species
UCCGGUUUGUCACCGGCAGUCUGAAGUGAGUCCCCAACUUAAUGCUGGCGACACUUCGCGGGGGUUGCGCUCGUUGCGGGACUUAACCCAACAUCUCACGACACGAGCUGACGACAGCCAUGCAGCACCUGUCUCCAGGUUCCCGAAGGCACCCCCACAUCUCUGCGGGGUUCCUAGGAUGUCAAGACCAGGUAAGGUUCUUCGCGUUGCAUCGAAUUAAACCACAUGCUCCGCUGCUUGUGCGGGUCCCCGUCAAUUCCUUUGAGUUUUAGCCUUGCGGCCGUACUCCCCAGGCGGGGCACUUAAUGCAUUAGCGCCGGCACGGGGGGAGUCGACACCCCCCACACCUAGUGCCCAUCGUUUACGGCGUGGACUAC